rnacentral:ncRNA from 13 species
GCCCAGAUAGCUCAGUCGGUAGAGCGCAAGGCUUUUAACCUUGUGGUCGGGGGUUCGAGCCCCCCUUUGGGCG